rnacentral:tRNA from 1 species
UGAGGAUGUACCUCAGUGGUCAAAUACUUGCCUGGCAAGUAUGAGACCCUGGGUUCAAUCCCCAGCACUGAA